rnacentral:rRNA from 1 species
CCCUUAGAUGUUCUGGGCCGCACGCGCGCUACACUGACGAUGGCAACGAGUUUUUCCUUCGCCGAAAGGUGUGGGUAAUCUUUUGAAACAUCGUCGUGCUGGGGAUAGAUCAUUGCAAUUUUUGAUCUUGAACGAGGAAUUCCUAGUAAGCGUGAUUCAUCAAAUCGCGUUGAUUACGUCCCUGCCCUUUGUACACACCGCCCGUCGCUCCUACCGAUUGAAUGUGUUGGUGAGGAGCUCGGAUUGGCAGCAGUUGGUGGUUCGCCACCGGCUAUUGCUGAGAAGUCCUCCAAACCGCCCCAUUUAGAGGAAGGAGAAGUCGUAACA